GUGUCUGAUUCCUGUAAACCAUUUACUUCCCCACUCAUUGUCCAAUUCUUUUUUGUCUUUCAUUCUCUAACCAUUCAUUGCCACUCAUUACCCAAUCAUCAAUCCAAUCCUAACCCUAAUCCAAUCAUUCUCUAUGUCUCAUUAUCCAUUCACUGUCACUCACUGUCCAGUUGUUUUCUGUGUCUCAUUUUCUCACCAUUCAUUGCCAUUCCUUGUCCAAUCAUUCUGUGUGUUUCAUUAUUUAACUAUUAACUGCCAUUUAGUGUGUAAUCAUUCUGUCUCAUUUUCUACCCAUUCAUUGCCAUUCAUUAUCCAAUCAUUCUCUGUCUCUCUUUAUCCAUUCUCUCCUCUUCAUUUUCCAGUCAUUCUCUGUGUCUUAUUGUGCAGCCAUUCAUUGCUUCUCCUUGUCCAAUCACUCUCUGUAUCUUAUUCUUUACCCAUUCAUUGCUACUCACUGUCCAAUUAUUCUGUCUCUCAUCCUAUAACCAUUCAUUACCACUUGUUAUCCAAUCAUUCUCUAUGUUUCAUUCUUUAACUAUUAACUCCCACUCACUGUCAAACCAUUUUACAUCGUAUUUUCUCCCUAUUCACUGCCACUCACUGUCCAAUCACUGUCUGUGUCUCAUUCUCUCAGCAGUCAGUGCCACUCACUUUCCCAUCAUUCUCUGUUAUUCUCUAACCCUUCAUUGCCAAUUCUUGUCAGUCAUCUCUGUUGUUUCAUUUUCUAUCUAUGUCA
rnacentral:lncRNA from 1 species